CUCAGUGGGUACAGAGGCCCCAAGAAGUGAACCCAGGACCUUCUGAUGUAGGUCCAGUCUCCCCACCACUGCACCAAGGGAGUUUCCCUUCCUACCCAGGUAGUGGAAGGAAUGGGACAGAGUGGAAGAUGAGAGAGGAAAACUCUGCCUAACCUCACUCAAAUCUUUUAUCUACAUAGAAAAAAAUGACAAACCCAGCUCUCCAGUAGUGCCCAGUUCCAUCUGACAGACUCCUGGCCAGUCAGGGCUACUGAGCCAGGGCCCUUCAUGCUCCAGCUCUGGCCCCAGCUCGGUUCUCCCAACCUCAGAGCCCCCAUCUUCCUGUCAGAAAGGCCAACCAACAGACUUGUACCAAAAAUUCACUUCACCUGGUGUACUGUGCUCACUGAUUUGAGGGGAUGCAAAAGAGACAGGAUGAAAAAAACCUUGCCCUGGA